GCCAGAAUAGUAUAAUAGAUUACGUUUGGUUUCCAACCAGAAAAUAUGUAUUUGGUA
rnacentral:tRNA from 1 species